GCAGGAUCAGAGCAUGAGGAGGAGGGGGCUCUAAAAGCCGCCUUCCCCCACUCUAAACUGCGCGCAGCCCCGGGGGAAAGGAAGCUGUGUGGAUCCCACCCCCACCAUGCAGGCUGGAGGGUUUGGGGUUCGGGUAUAAGUGGGGGUGCGAGGACAGGCUCGGGGAGCGCCGGUUUUCUCGGAUGCAGAUUAGCCGCCUGGAGGCGAAGGCUUUUCUGUUUGGCUUCCCUGGAAGCAGCCAAGCUCUAUAAAAGGAAAAUGAGAAGCCAUCACAGCUGGGGCCGCUCCAGGCCUUUCUGCAAAAGACUAGCCUGGCCAGAAUCCAAACCGCAAGCCUCAGCGGGCAGCCCGGGGAAGGGGGCCCGGCCUCCCAGCCCCCCUCACUCUCCGCCCAGCCGGCCCGGGAGGUCCUGCUGCUGCCCUCCGGAGCCAACGGGGGAGAUGGAGAAAGGCAGCAAGGUGAAAGAGAACUCUGAGGGAACCAACAAAGUUUCCAUUCAGACCUCAUUAACUCCAGUGAACUAA
rnacentral:lncRNA from 1 species